ensembl:snRNA U1 U1 spliceosomal RNA
AUUCAUGCCUUGCAGGGGAAAUGCCAUGUCAUAAAAGUGGUUUUCCCGGGGGGAGGCUCAUCCAUUGCAAUUCUGAUGCUGAUCCUUAUGAUUUCCCCAAAUGUGGGGAACUCAACUGCAUAGUUUGUGUUAAUGGGGGAUUGCUGUUGUGAUUUCCCUGG